GGAUUCCCUCAGUAACGGCGAGUGAACGGGGAAAAGCCCAGCGCUUAAGCUUGUCGCUCUAACGGGUGACGAGCGGUGUAGCGUAUAGCAGGUGAUUCUCCUUGGUGGCUGUCGACUUAAAUUCUCCUUGACUGGGGUUCCAGAGAAGGUGAAAGGCCUGUUCAGUCGAUGGCCGCCUUGGAUUCCACUCUGCUUGGAGUCGGGUUGUUUGGGAACGCAGCCCAAAUUUGGUGGUAAACUUCAUCUAAGGCUAAAUACGGCCACGAGACCGAUAGCAAACAAGUACCGUGAGGGAAAGUUGAAAAGUACUUUGAAGAGAGAGUUCAAGAGGACGUGAAACCGGUAGGGUGGAAACGGAUAGAGCCAACGAACAAGCCCGUAUUCAGCUGGUCGGCUGCGUGCGGCCUGCUUGGAGGUCCCGUCAUGGGCUUCUGAGUGGGUGCGGUAUGCGGUCGGCUAGUGCAUUUGCGGGUGAUGUGCGCUGAGGCGUGUGAUGGAGUCUCGCGAGCCGUGCGGAGAGGCCUCGUCCUUCACGGGACUUGGAACCUACGCUACGGGGCUGUGGGGUUUCCGUUGCACGUAGCUUUUUUCGGUCAGGUGUACUCGCGCUGGCGUAUCGUCGGGUUGGUCCUUGUGUGCGGUCGCAUGCGACUAGUGCCUUGGGCUGAUCUUGGCGGUGCGUUAGUGCCCUGGCCGGUCCUCAGUGUUAAAGUUGGUCAUCUCUCCGACCCGUCUUGAAACACGGACCAAGGAGUCUAGCGUAUGCGCGAGUCAUUGGGUGGAAAACCCAAAGGCGAAAUGAAAGUGAAGGUCUCCUCGAGAGGCUGAUAUGCGAUCCGUUGUGCCUCGGUGCGGCGGAGCAGCAUAGCCCCGUCUCGACCGCUUGCGGUGGGGCGGAGGUAGAGCGUAUUCGCUGGUACCCGAAAGAUGGUGAACUAUGCCUGAGCAGGAUGAAGCCAGAGGAAACUCUGGUGGAGGUCCGAAGCGCUUCUGACGUGCAAAUCGAUCGUCUGACUUGGGUAUAGGGGCGAAAGACUAAUC
rnacentral:rRNA from 1 species